GGUGAGUAACGCGUGGGUAACCUGCCUUAUACCGGGGGAUAACAGUCAGAAAUGGCUGCUAAUACCGCAUAAGCGCACAGAGCUGCAUGGCUCAGUGUGAAAAACUCCGGUGGUAUAAGAUGGACCCGCGUUGGAUUAGCUUGUUGGUGGGGUAACGGCCCACCAAGGCGACGAUCCAUAGCCGGCCUGAGAGGGUGAACGGCCACAUUGGGACUGAGACACGGCCCAGACUCCUACGGGAGGCAGCAGUGGGGAAUAUUGCACAAUGGGGGAAACCCUGAUGCAGCGACGCCGCGUGAAGGAAGAAGUAUCUCGGUAUGUAAACUUCUAUCAGCAGGGAAGAUAGUGACGGUACCUGACUAAGAAGCACCGGCUAAAUACGUGCCAGCAGCCGCGGUAAUACGUAUGGUGCAAGCGUUAUCCGGAUUUACUGGGUGUAAAGGGAGCGCAGGCGGUACGGCAAGUCUGAUGUGAAAUCCCGGGGCUCAACCCCGGUACUGCAUUGGAAACUGUCGGACUAGAGUGUCGGAGGGGUAAGUGGAAUUCCUAGUGUAGCGGUGAAAUGCGUAGAUAUUAGGAGGAACACCAGUGGCGAAGGCGGCUUACUGGACGAUUACUGACGCUGAGGCUCGAAA
rnacentral:rRNA from 1 species